rnacentral:rRNA from 1 species
AGAAUCAACGCUGGCGGCGUGCCUAACACAUGCAAGUCGAACGCGAAAGUCCCGCAAGGGAUGAGUAGAGUGGCAAACGGGUGAGUAACACGUGGGUGACCUGCCUUCGAGUGGGGGAUAACGUCCCGAAAGGGACGCUAAUACCGCAUGACAUCCUGCCUUUUAAGAGGUGGAGAUCAAAGCUGGGGAUCGCAAGACCUGGCGCUCAAAGAGGGGCCCGCGCCUGAUUAGCUAGUUGGCGAGGUAACGGCUCACCAAGGCAACGAUCAGUA